rnacentral:rRNA from 1 species
GCUACACAUGCAGUCGAGCGGAACGACAANNAUUGAAUCUUCGGAGGAUUUGNUGGGCGUCGAGCGGCGGACGGGUGAGUAAUGCCUAGGAAAUUGCCUUGAUGUGGGGGAUAACCAUUGGAAACGAUGGCUAAUACCGCAUAAUGCCUACGGGCCAAAGAGGGGGACCUUCGGNCCUCUCGCGUCAAGAUAUGCCUAGGUGGGAUUAGCUAGUUGGUGAGGUAAUGGCUCACCAAGGCGACGAUCCCUAGCUGGUCUGAGAGGAUGAUCAGCCACACUGGAACUGAGACACGGUCCAGACUCCUACGGGAGGCAGCAGUGGGGAAUAUUGCACAAUGGGCGAAAGCCUGAUGCAGCCAUGCCGCGUGUAUGAAGAAGGCCUUCGGGUUGUAAAGUACUUUCAGUUGUGAGGAAGGGUGUGUAGUUAAUAGCUGC